CAAUAGCGUAUAUUAAAGUUGUUGCAGUUAAAAAGCUCGUAGUUGAAUUUCGGGUCCCCGCGCUCGGCGCUUCAUUGUGCCGUCGUGGUGUCCCUCCUCGCCGUAAGGCGUCCUUUACUGUGAAAAAAUUAGAGUGUUCAAAGCAGGCAAUCGCUUGAAUACAUUAGCAUGGAAUAAUAAGAUAGGAUCUUGUCUAUUUUGUUGGUUGCAGACAACGAUAAUGAUUAAUAGGGAUAGUUGGGGGUGUCCGUAUUGAGCUGCCAGAGGUGAAAUUCUUGGAUUUGCUCAAGACGAACUACUGCGGAAGCAUUCACCAAGGAUGUUUUCAUUAA
rnacentral:rRNA from 1 species